rnacentral:rRNA from 1 species
AACGAACGCUGGCGGCAGGCCUAACACAUGCAAGUCGAACGCCCUAGCAAUAGGGGAGUGGCAGACGGGUGAGUAACACGUGGGAACCUUCCCUAUAGUACGGAAUAUACCAGGGAAACUUGGAGCAAUACCGUAUACGCCCGAGAGGGGAAAGAUUUAUCGCUAUAGGAUGGGCCCGCGUAGGAUUAGCUAGUUGGUGAGGUAAUGGCUCACCCAAGGCGACGAUCCUUAGCUGGUUUGGAGAGAACGACCAGCCACACUGGGACUGAGACACGGCCCAGA